ensembl:lncRNA
GAUUAUUUUAGUUUGUGGUGAGUCGUGUUCCCCGUGUUCCCCCGUGUUCCCCCGUGUUCCCCGUGUUCCCCCGUGUUCCCCCGUGUUCCCCCGCGUCACCCGCGUUCCUUGCCUUUUGAGUUAAAAAAUUAUCCUUUUACCCGAACUGUCCUACCUGCCUGCCUGCCUGCCACCCGCUAACCGUGACAGAUCAUUGUGAUUCACCAUAUAUUGAUCCAUUUAUUCAAAAGAUCCAAAGACAAAGAACAGAUCCCAGUCCAUCAUGCUCCCCUACUUGUCUGCCAUGCCACCAUCAUGCCUCAUGCAUCACCUCUCAGCGCCCUGCCCAGCUGCAUCUUAUUCCGUUACUCCAGCUCUUUCCAGCUCUUUCCCAUAAGUGACAAACACGCCUCACCCAAGUGUUUUUAAUAUUUUAUUAAUUAUGCAUGUAAGGUGUGCUAAAGUGGCCUGAAAGGUGCCCAUCAAUAAAAUGCUUAUUAAUAUAACAUUAUGGCUCCAUCAAAAGCAAAGUACACCUGCCAUUUACAGUUAUCAUUUAUACUAUCCUAGACAUCUUUAAUCUUAUUUACAUAGGCCUACAGUAGGCCUGAUUUCCUCAUUCCCUGUCCAUCAUACUCCUGUUGUCUUCCUGCACACCUGACUGCCUCCUCCAUCGAUUGCGGCCACAGACCUCUCCCUGUACAAUAUUUCAUGUUAAAUACAUUUCAGGAUCAAGGUUGAGAUUCAGUUUCAGUAUUACUUGUUUUUGAAACCUGACGUGGGGCUGGCACCGCCACCAUCAUAUCUGUCUUAUUUAUUGCACCCACACAUAGGUCCAUGAUACCAUGUGGGGUCAUUUCAGAGACUCCUUUGCUUCCUAACACCUUGUGAGUUCCCUGGGUACACCAGCUGAUGGGUCUGUGUAUAUAUUGGGUAUUUGAUUCUCGUUUCAGAAAACGAAAUAUAUUAAACGAGUGGUAAUUGUUAUUUCUGUUUUAACAUUCAAAAAGGUAUAUACAAGGUGCUUUUCUUUUUCCCCAAAAAGGGGCAAACUAAUCUAAAAUAAUAAUUGUUAAACAUAUAGAGAAUCAUCGGGGGAUUACUUCCAUGGUCUGUAAACAAUGCGACUGCCAUCGCUCAGACCUCUCGCUUAUGAUGCUACAAUGCUAAAAAUGCUAAACAAUAUUUCUGCAUCCGGUACGUCAUGAAGUAGGGCGUAGCCAAAGACCCAUGAUGCGGAAGCAUAUCUCUCCUUGAUGUUGCCCUGCGCCAUUGAGCAGUUUAGGAAUGAAUAGGCGCCAUUUUUGAAUCCGUUGUCCAUUUUAUAAUGUCCAUGGGUAUGAGUAAGGUCUCGCUGAAAUUGCAUCUAACCCAUGCGUAACGUGUGUGGUGGUAGGCGAUGACUCCAGUUUAACCAGUGAAUGAGUUUCUCUGGUCUCUUUGAUGAAAGCUUCCUUCUCACACACACACACACACACACACACUCGCACACACAGUAAGGUGAAUUGAAUGAAGACUUUGAAUCUAAAUCAGUCAAAUCAGACUCAUCCCUUUAAUUAAAAUGAGGGAGGUCAUUUAAGAUCAAACACAGAGCUGAAAUAGCCUCUCACUUUUACCAAGAAGACCACAGGGUGCCGAACCUGCACUGCAGGUUUUCUUAAUUAGUUAAUUGGUUGCAUCUGGUGCGUUUCACUUAAAAGGGAACCAGACAGUUCAUUUGUUUGUGUACUGUUUUCUUGGUCUGUUGUGACUUAGUUAACAUCUCUUCCAGUUUCACAGGUUAAAGACUUUUUGAAGUAAAGAGGAGCAUCUCAUCUGAACCUGAUGUCCAUCAUGGAUAUUUAUCUGCAGUUCUGUGAGUAUCCCAACUUGACCAUGAAGCAUAACUGCAAACUGUAAGUCAUUAAUUUCUCAUUACUCUUGGGCACAUGGAUGUAUUUUGGCUUCCUGGUGAGUUAACCUGUUACCUGAAGGUUGAUCUGAGUAGUUAGGAUGUUUUAUUGGUUCAUGGGUUACUUAGGUGUUUGGUUUAUGUUGGUUUUAAUGAUUUGUUAAAAUGGUUACAGGCUCCAAGUUAUUGUUGUAAGCUGGAGUAAUGGGUUGGGUUCUGAUAUCUUCAGUCUUCUUUCAUUCUACUCUCCUGAGCUCUGCGUGUUAAUUUAUUGAUGAGGGUGUGGUCUGAGGGAGCAGAGGUGCAUACUGGGGUACAGAGCUGUCUCGAGUCUACUGGUCUGUAGACACGCCCCCUCAGGGGAAUCGGAGUGUUUGAGAAACUGUCGUGUCGUCAGUUACAUGGCCUGGAAUGUUCUUAAAGGGGACCCAUUAUGCUUUUUUGACUUUUAAGCCCUAUAAACGUUGUUAUAAUGGAGUCAUAUUUAACCAUACACAAAAACGAUGUCGAUUUUCGGGAAACUCUUCCUCUCAUCUGGGCGCUUUCAGCCUUCUCUAUCAACGCUCGGUUUCGUCCUUCCCCGCCCACCUCGCCCCCUCCUGCCAACCCAACUCUGUUGUGAUUGGUUACCUUCCUUGGAGCGCCUGCGUGGGCAGAUUUGACCAGGCAUAUGGGGGCGCGGCAGGAGUGCCUCUACGUAGAUGAUUUCCCGGAAAUGUGAACAAGUGAAUGCAAACGUUGUCCCGAGUGUUUAGCGCUCUGCAAUUCCACCCCAGACUGGGGUGGCUCGAAAAAAAAGUCGAAAAAGGAUAAUAGGUCCCCUUUAAAGAUGGAGAGAGGGAUUCAGAAGGAGAAACACCAGGGGGAGAUGAGGGGGCUCCUCAUCUCAACGACUAAAACGCAACUUCAGUCUGACACGGAGAACCAUGGAAUACAUUCAACAGUCCCCUCCAGGCAUCGUGACUCCUCAGGAACAGUUUCCAAGAAGGUCUUAUUUGGGGCCAUCCCCAUAUGGAUCCUGCUCCUCAAGAGCCACCCCCCUCCACUGGUUGGUCUUCUGAACAGAUGAUCUCCUUCCUGUCCUCAGGCUGACUAAAGCUGCACCGUUUGCAUCUGUGAAGACCCCUCAUUCAGGAAACCACUGGACUACAAAGACAUGACUUCAGAGAUGUUGAAUCAACCUGGGACACCAAGCAUAAUCCAUCACCAAUGUGGGACGCCACUGAAGAAUGUUGUACAUAAUUUACGUCUCUGGAGACAUUGGUUGUUCUGUUAUGGGUGCCCUGGCAGGAGAGCUCGGGGGGGAAUGGAAUGUUAUUUGGCAUGAGGUUUUUACCCUGCAUGAUUGUUUGGCCUUUUAGUCAGGUGUGUGUGUGUGUGUGUGUGUGUGUGUGUGUGUGUGUGUGUGUUGAGAUUAAAGAUUUUUGAGCAUCGGUAGGGUUCUCUGUGUGUGUGUGUGUGUGUGUGUGUGUGUGUCUCCCCCACUCACACCUGGCAUGGGGUUCUACGUGCCUGUCCUGGGUUCUGUGUGUGUGUGUGUCCGGCUUGCUUUGACAGUGAUAAUGUUCAUACGGGGGUCUGUGUGAUUGGCUUGGGAUAUUGGAAUGGUAAACUAAAUCAUACCUGAUGGACGGCCUCACGUUUACUUAAGGGCCUCAAGUAGACAUGAAGAGCCCUGAGCGACGCUCCGGAGCGAGAUCCAACACACUGGGCAGGAAGGAGAGUACCCAACUCAAGUGACUUCAAACUAGGACUACACCAAUCAGGAUCAAUGGAGGAUGGACACCAAUCCGGAUCAAUGGAGGAUGGACACCAAAAGGAAUUCCACAAGGAGAGUCUGAAGUUGGAAAGGGACCUAAAUGGAUAUUCAAGAUGACCUUCAGACCUGUAAUGAGACUGCUCUUCCUACCUGGCUGGAUUGAUGGAGAGCCCUGUGGAUCUUGUCUUGCUCUCAGUUGCACGUCUUCUCAGGCUGAACUGUAUUUGUUUCGGACAGAACUAGCUGAACGAUUGGUUCCCUUAAAUCACAACCAAUCCGGGCACUCCAGCUAGUUCGCUCUUUGAGCUGAAGUGUUGCUCUUCAGCUGAGGAGGUAAGGGAACCUUCACUGGGGCUUCAAGAUGUAAAGAGGAGAAUGUUUCAAAGUGUUCCAUGGUACUCUGAAGACCGUUGUUGUGUUCAACUGGCUGAGAGGAAGAACCCACACAUCUUCCUCUUGGCCUUUCUCCUCUGAGAAUCCUGGCGCCAUCUUGAAGGAUAUUCCAUUUCAUGUAACUGAUGUCACGACAGAUUCUCAAACACUUGGUUUCUCCUGAGGGGCGUUUCUAUAGAACUGAAGACUUCAGACAGCACUGUAUCCCAGCAUGCAUCUCUGCUCACUCAGAACACACCCCCAUGAGUAGGAUGCAACACUCUAGUGAUGGUGAUGUAGAGUUUUAUAAGUAACGAGGGAGCAGACUAGGGGAUUAGAACACAAUGGUGUGUCAAGUCUGUAAAUCUUUAAACCAUGAAGAUGGUUGGAUAGUUCAGGAAUUGGGCUUCUUUUUAAUAUGGGCAGUCCUUUCACUCAGAUGCUCACUUCUCACUAGAGCUGUACAUGUGUUGGCUGGCUGGCAUGAUUUGCUGUUGGUGAUGGUGAGCUCAACGUUUAGAUUUGCUCUGUAUGGUUUGUACCCUGAAUAAUCUAGAUAAUUGUAAAAUGUAGACACGGUUUUGUAUUGAAUGAUUCCAGGAUUUUAGAUUUAAAGUUGUUGUACAUGGUAGUUUGGUUCUUCGUAUGGUUUUGAGUGAUAUAACUUGUACACACUGGGUGCAUAAUAAUGUAAAGGUACACUGAAUAGUAGUAAUGACCAACAGCAACAAACAGAUCUCCUCAAGGUAAGUCUGUUGGCUGUGUUUUAAUGAAGACCAUCGCUGGACUUCAGGAUCUUCCUCCGUUCAGCUCAAGGUGAGGCGCUGGUUCUGUUUUUUCUUUGGUUGGUUCCGGCCGGAAUGUUCGGAUUCCAGUCGGACGGUUUGUGCUUCACGCCGUGGAAGGUUCUGAGUGCGGUCACUUGAUUUAGUCCCAAUGUUUAGCAUAGAACGUUGUAGUCUUGACAACCAUAAGAAACCACCUGGCAGUUAGUUGGACAGGAGUCCCCUAAGGGAAUCUGGCGGAACGUUCUGGAUUGUAUUUGCGUAACCUCGAGCCGUUGCCAACGGAAACUAUUUUUCAGUCGGUUCCCAUUGGGAAUUGUUUCCCCUAUCUUAAACAACUUAAGUUUGAUAUUAAAUACAUACUGACACGUACCUCGUACAAUAUGUUGAUAAUUUCCGAUGGUUGCGCCGUACUUUUAACCACGUUGACGGGACUCUUGCUGCGUACCGAACGGCGUUCUACUUGCGGCCCCAUUUUUGACAUCAGUGAAGGCUGAAAAAUAAUUUCAAGGUGGAAGACAAUUUGACAUUUCUUCAGAGGAACCCAGCACCUGAAUAUGGCUGAGUAAAUUUGAUUUAAUAUCGAUACUGCUUAGUGUUCUUUGUUACUUCAGCUUUUGUACGUUCUAAAUAUCUGCUGUUAAUUGCCACAGAAGUUAAACCCUACCCAAUAGAAUGACGUUAAACAACGACUUUGGUGCAGAGUUAGCAACUGGAUAAUAUCAAAGCUAAAAUAAUGGCCGUCAUUCCCACAUGUUACAGAUACCCUAGAACUGUACAAGGUUAAAAAGGUAACAUGUAGUUUGUCCCAAGGUGUCUGCCUCCUCACCCAGAGCAAGAGCUCCACCUCCUCACCCAGAGCCAGACCUCCACCUCCUGUCAGAAGUCCUCCAGAACAGCUGAAAGGCGAGGCUGAGAGGCUGGGGACCGGAGGCUUGUGGUGCCAGGAUGGACCGGAGACUGAGGCUUGAGACCAGGGGCCUGCAGCACCAGACCAGAGGUGAACCUCAGAUGCAGGAGGUGGGGUGCGUUGCGUCCCUUGGCUGGUGGAGGGCCUGCCUGGUGAAUGACGUCUGUCGUGGGACCAGGACUCUGUCUGAGGAGAGCUGCUGGAGGAGCUGAGACGCUGGAGGACGACUAGGAAUCGACUAACAAGGAUUCCUUAACGCGUUUCUGGAGCGGAGGCGAGCUGGUAGGGGAGCCGUGAAUCUGGAGGAUGACCAUCACUCUACCAACAAGGAUUACUUUAGGGCCAGACUCGCGCUGUUUGUUCCAGACCAGGACUCUGGCUGAGGAGAGCUGAUGGAGGAGCCAAGACUCUGGAGGACGACCUCACUCCACCAACCAGGAUCCUCACCAGGAAUCUGGAGGACUGAUGGAGAAGCCAUACAUCUGGAAGGCAAAUCCUGAGGACCACCAGGACUCUACCAUCAAGGAUUCCUCAUUAUUGUGCAUUAUCUGGACAUAGUGGACUAGACACACCUGAGCUUAACCUCACCUGAUCCUGUUUGGUCGGGGGUAGACACACCUGAGCUAUACCCGCCCUGAUCCUGACAUCCUGCUGGUCCCGUCCCCUCAGUUCAUCUGAGCCUCGUCCUCCAGAAGACCUGCUGAGCUCAGCAGUCUGAGGCUGAUGGAUCAAUGACCUCCAGUGGGAGUGAUCUUCUUGACCCCAAAUGUAACCGUGUGCUUCCACACGCCUUUCCCUCACGUCUGUCACUAACCUCACUACUUCACUACUGCUUCCUCUUUUCUUCCUUCUCUGUGGUUCAAACCUUUACACUGAAGGCGCGUCUUCCUGCCCUCAGAGGGUUUAGCGUUAGGGUUGAGAGUCAGGGUUUAGAGUCAGGGACAGAGCUGGUCAGGGAGGACUGCUUUUAAACAAACCUCUUCACUUGCUUUCGGAAUGGUGGUGACAUUUUGAAAGGAUUCAUUUGGGAAAAUGUUUUCCUCUGCUUUCCUUUACAAAUUGUAUUGAAUUUCUGUCGAGUGUUUUUGUUUAUGUAUUAAAAUCCCACAUUGACUUCUACAUGUUUGUUGCAGUUCAUUUAAUUGUCCUUUAACUUGGUUAAUGUCAAGCUAAACUCCUGCAAUACAUUUAAUCUACAUUGUUUUUCUGCAUUGUUACAUUAUCCAUUUUGUAAAAAUAUGAAACAUCCUUAUUACUACUAAAUUCAAGC